rnacentral:ncRNA from 9 species
UAAUACUGUCUGGUAAUGCCG